rnacentral:rRNA from 1 species
GUCCGAGUUGUAAUCUAUAGAAGUGUUUUCCGUGCUGGACCAUGUCCAAGUCCCUUGGAACAGGGUAUCAAAGAGGGUGACAAUCCCGUACUUGACAUGACCACCAGUGCUCUGUGAUACACUUUCUACGAGUCGAGUUGUUUGGGAAUGCAGCUCAAAAUGGGUGGUAAAUUCCAUCUAAAGCUAAAUAUUGGCGAGAGACCGAUAGCGAACAAGUACCGUGAGGGAAAGAUGAAAAGCACUUUGGAAAGAGAGUUAAACAGUACGUGAAAUUGUUGAAAGGGAAACGAUUGAAGUCAGUCGUGUUCAUUGGACUCAGCCGGUUUUCGGUGUAUUUCCUUUGAACGGGUCAACAUCAGUUUUGUCCGGUGGAUAAAGGCAGGAAGAAAGUGGCUCCCUCGGGAGUGUUAUAGCUUUCUGUCACAUACACUGGAGGAGACUGAGGACUGCAGCUCGCCUUUUGGCCGGGGUUCGCCCACGUUCGAGCUUAGGAUGUUGACAUAAUGGCUUUAAACGAC